ensembl:misc_RNA Y_RNA Y RNA
GGUUAGCCUGAGUGCUAUAGUAUUUACAAUGAAUUGAUCACAACCAGUUACAGAUUUCUUUGCCACAUCUUCACUCCCACUGCUUCACUUGACUAGCCUUAA